UCCGGUCCUCAAAGGAGAUCUGUUGUAUUUGUUCUUGUGCUUUUGAAUCUAACCAUUAAGAAAACUGUGGGAGACCAACUCCCAACUUCCACACAUGACCCCAAGAUGACUGAAGCUCAAACCACCCAACCCACCACAACCAUCAGCAAACUGUAUCCUAUAUGCACAACCAGGUCAAAGACUGAAAACAGCCAAACCAUUCACACCACCACUGUCCCUCCAGACCGCAACAAAGAAGUCUUACAUCCUACAUCCCAGACUAGGGGAGAAUACACCAGAGCUCAAGAUUACAUCGCAAACAUUUCCUCUACACUCAAGACUGAGAGAAACAACACGGAAGAUAUGAACGUCACCCCUUCUUUCAAGAAUGAGAUAGUGAACUAUAGUGAUGUCUUACCAACAUCUCAGACCAAUGGAAACCAAACUCAAGAUGAGGGCAAGGACUUUGAUGACCAAGGCUCCAUUGCCUCCGUUAUGACCCAAACUGAGAACUAUAAUAUCACCACAGAGCAUACCACUACAGCUACUGCAAGAUCCACCAUAUCCACAAUGGGAGGCAUGACUGUAAAUGCUGCUUUAACUGGGAAGAAGAAGAGGUCUUGUAAAAUAUUUAGCUGCAUCGGCAUAACAUGCUACAAACAUAUGAAGGCCAUGGAGGAGUUGUGUGAGGAGGGUAUGGACUUCUGUGAGCUCAAGAAAACCUCAAGCCAGGUCACCUGGAAUACAUACGUGGCGGUGUGGAAUGCAGGAUGCGCCAGAGACUGCAGACAGAGUACUAAGUGUGGUCUCUUCAGCUUGUACCAAUGCCACAAUGAGUGUUGUGUGGCUGGGUCUGUCUCCUGUCUCAGACUGGAUGGUUCUCUCAACAUGCCUGUCAACUCUGCCUGCUGUGGCCUGGGGAGUCUCUCCCUCCUGGCUCUGAGUGUAACCUCUCUACUGGCCAGUCUACUCAACACUCGCUAAUCUACUAAACUUCCUGUGACAUUAGACUCACUUUAGAAUACAGAGGGUUUAGUAUGGAUCGACUAAAUGCAUAUUUCAGUUUUGUCAUAUCCACUGCUUGGGCGUCAUUAGUUCUUUCAUGUUUUCUUCGUCUGUGAAUGCAAGCUCUCAUGAAAAUAAAACUGUUUUCCA
rnacentral:lncRNA from 1 species